rnacentral:tRNA from 1 species
ACUUAAAUAGCUUAAAUUUAAAGCGUGACAUUGAAGCUGUUAAAAUGGUAAUUUUACCUUUAAGUA